rnacentral:rRNA from 1 species
CCUACGGGUGGCUGCAGUCGAGAAUCAUUCACAAUGGGGGAAACCCUGAUGGUGCGACGCCGCGUGGGGGAAUGAAGGUCUUCGGAUUGUAAACCCCUGUCAUGUGGGAGCAAAUUAAAAAGAUAGUACCCCAAGAGGAAGAGACGGCUAACUCUGUGCCAGCAGCCGCGGGAAUACAGAGGUCUCAAGCGUUGUUCGGAAUCACUGGGCGUAAAGCGUGCGUAGGCGGUUUCGUAAGGCGUGUGUGAAAGGCGCGGGCUCAACCCGCGGACCGCACAUGAUACUGCGAGACUAGAGUAAUGGAGGGGGAACCGGAAUGCUCGGUGUAGCAGUGAAAUGCGUAGAUAUCGAGAGGAACACUCGUGGCGAAGGCGGGUUCCUGGACAUUAACUGACGCUGAGGCACGAAGGCCAGGGGAGCGAAAGGGAUUAGAUACCCUGGUAGUC